rnacentral:lncRNA from 1 species
GGGAAAGUGUAGUGUAACAAUGGGAUCACUGUUUUUUUUGUUGGUGAGAUGAAAAUGUUUAAGCUUGGCCCUAACACCAGUUGCUAUUGAAAGGUACUGCCUUGUACAAAAUAACAAAUCAAAUCCCAAACUGUCUGUUUAUGGUUAUUACGGUUCACUUCAUUAAGCCAUAACUCUGAUUACAUUCUUUCUCCUGCCCUACCCUGAAGGCUGAGCUCUGAGGCCAGGGGGCUGGGCCUGCUCUUCUCUGGGAACUGCGUGUCCAAAAACAUAUUUGGGCAAAAUGGAUGAGUUGUGGACAAAGGGAACUCUCAGACUUUCAGGGGACCUUACCUGAGGGGCUCCUUCUGAGUUCUGGAGUCAUGCUCCCCUAUCCUGAGCACCUUGGCUCCUGAGACCCUGGGUUCCUGUUGCACCUGCAGAGAUUCAGAUGCCACGCCAGGCACUGAGGCUCCUGCAGACGGCACUACAGACCAACCACUGAUCUCAUAGCUGGUACAUGGCGGGGAGAAGACAGACAUGGAAUGAGAAGCCGAACCUGGGCCCUCGAGAGCCUCCUCCUGGAGCCCGUGGAUGUGAGCCACCCUGGCCUCUGACCCGAUCCUGGACACGUCUAGCAGGGCUGGCACCAGCUGCCCCCCAGCAAUCCACGAGCCGACUCCAGCCACCGGGGGCCUGUGUUGCAAGCUGGGUCUCUUCCUGCUCUUGCUGGGCCUGGCCUCUCCUCCCCAGUCGGCUUGGCUGUUCUGGAAACAAUGACUGUGGACAGAAACGACUUCUCAUGGGGGUUUUGGAAACCGCGGCUGGGCAUCAGCAAACAGCUUUUGCACAGGGCAGUGGCUCCCGAGGAGAUGCAGAAACGCUGGGAGGCUGGAGGGGAAGUGACAGAGACAAUAGGAGGCAUUGUGUCUUCUCCCAGGAAGCUCUGCUUUGCAUUGCUUCCAAGAAAAUUGACUCUGGGGCAGCUCCAUCUAUUCCAAAGCAACAGCUUUAUGUGAUUCUGUUAGUCCCAGGCUCGGACAAAUGCGCCCUUCCUACCUCAUUAACAAUGCCAGCAGGGCCCAGCUGUGCCAUGGGGGGCUCCGUGCCCUAAUUCAUCAGACAAGGCCGAGUGUAGGAAGUCAUAAGAACAAUGCAUCUUAGAGCAGAAGCUGUCUGUGGAGGGAGUGCAGCUUUGAUGUGGGGCAUGGCCCUGAUUAGGGUUGACGGCUAGGGAUGGUCCGUGCUUGGGAAGGUGGCAUAAGCCCGGAUGGCAUUUGGGAUGUGGGGUUUUGCACCUGGGUCUGUUGAAGUUUGAUGAAGUUUAACACGUGCAAACAGUGGCUUUUGUUCUGCAGGACAAAGGCCUUCCUCGACCUGGGCCCAGGCUGAGACCUUGGUGGUGGCAACGUUUCCUCCCCGUCGCCUCUUGUCACUCUCCUUGUGGAAGUUUAAUUAGGACAACGAGCUUUCACAGGCUCAUUUCUCACUCCAGCAACUUUCUAACACUUCCUAACGAGGAGGCUGGAGCCUGAGGACUGUGGGGCGGAGAGGGGGCUGUGGGGCUGGCCAGAAAGACCGUUAAGGGGACUGGGAGGGGCUGGGGAAGUGGGGUGCGUGGAGAGGAGCAGAACAGGCACAGAGGAAGCACAAAACCACAGUGGGUCCCUGGAGAACUGUGGAUUGAUCUGGGAAGAAGAGAAAAUAAAACAAAUCCUAACUGGUCUUUGUUUUCUGGGUGGCCAGACAGUAAUUUCCCCAAAUUCUCUAUGGUUCUGGAAAAGAAAGCAAAGGAUCAAUCACUGUUGACUUUGUGGCCUUCAGAACUGGAUCACAUGGGCCGUUACUUAACACCUUAAACUCCUCUUACUGCCAUGCAAGCCUUUCCCAUCCACUGGGUUCUAAACAGAGAGGUUGUGAUGACCUGGCCAAGCUCCCAGCCCACUCCUGAACCAGGCUCCACACUUUUUAUCCAGGUGUGGACAUGGUGGAGUGCCUGGGUAGGGGAUGGGCAGCCCACAUCAAGGGUGUGAUCCUGCUGACCUUGAUGGAGAUGCUGGCUUUCUUGGGCCUAAAGAGCAUGAAGAACUGCGGGUGGAGGGACAGAGGAUCCCUGUGUAUCCUCACCUGCAUCAGUCAGUAUAGUUCAGGUUGUGCCACAGUAACACCCAAAAUGUGGGUGCUUAAAGACCACACAGUUUGUUUCUUCUGCUGCUACAUAUCCAUGGUGGGUCAGCUAACAGCUCUGCUCCACAUCACCCCAACCCUUGGCCUCAUUAUUUAGAACACUGGCAAUUGGUUUGAUAGAGGGAGAGAAAGAGGUUGUGAGGGC